UAUGGCCAUACCACCCUGAAUGUGCCUGAUCUCCUCUGAUAUAGGAAGCUAAGCAGGGUCGGGCCUGGUUAGUACUUGGAUGGGAGAAAGAAUGCACAGCCCUGUUAGCAAUCAGAGUGUGCACAUGA
rnacentral:rRNA from 1 species